rnacentral:rRNA from 1 species
GAUGAACGCUGGCGGCGUGCCUAAUACAUGCAAGUCGAGCGAACAGACGAGGAGCUUGCUCCUCUGACGUUAGCGGCGGACGGGUGAGUAACACGUGGAUAACCUACCUAUAAGACUGGGAUAACUUCGGGAAACCGGAGCUAAUACCGGAUAAUAUAUUGAACCGCAUGGUUCAAUAGUGAAAGACGGUUUUGCUGUCACUUAUAGAUGGAUCCGCGCCGCAUUAGCUAGUUGGUAAGGUAACGGCUUACCAAGGCAACGAUGCGUAGCCGACCUGAGAGGGUGAUCGGCCACACUGGAACUGAGACACGGUCCAGACUCCUACGGGAGGCAGCAGUAGGGAAUCUUCCGCAAUGGGCGAAAGCCUGACGGAGCAACGCCGCGUGAGUGAUGAAGGUCUUCGGAUCGUAAAGCUCUGUUAUUAGGGAAGAACAAAUGUGGAAGUAACUAUGCACGUCUUGACGGUACCUAAUCAGAAAGCAACGGCUAACUACGUG